AUCGCUUCUCGGCCUUUUGGCUAAGAUCAAGUAUAGUACCUUUUCCUGUCAGUUUAAUAUCUGGUACAUCCUCUACCCGAGGACAAUAUAUAUAUAUAUAUUUUGAGUUGGAGUCUCACUCUGUCACCCAGACUGGAGUGCAGUGNNN
rnacentral:snRNA from 1 species